UUUCUUAUAAAAUAAUAUUUAUAGAGUUAUACGUGAAUAAUUUUUAUAGCGUAAAAGCUAAAUAAAUUUAUACAUAUUGAAAUACAGUAAGCCAAAAUAUUUAAUUUAAUUUACAAUAACAAGAGGGCCCCCGAAUAAACAAAAGUAAAGAGGACUGUGAACCUACGGUUUGAAAAAUGCAGAUCCAACGGUAGUCCUCGAUGAGAUCAGCUAUCUACAGUCUAUACUGAACCUGAAAAAGGUGGAAAGGAGGGUGGUGAGAUUAUAAAAUCCCAAUGAGUAAACAGACAUCAUCAUAAAUAUCUAGAAUUGAGUACAUGGAGACAAUAAAGUAAAUCAUCGUAAACUGGGUCAUAGCAUAGGAAUACAUUUCAUUUAAAAUAUGUAAAAAGGCUUAUGAAUUUCAUAAAAACUAGGCUUGUGCCAUAAAUCCAUUCUUGGGGACACCUUGGCCGAGGCAUCCUACCGAGACCGUCAAGGCUAUUAAAAUUCACAUUUCACAUAAAUCAUGUUUUUGUUUUGAAAACAUAGCCAUUCCUUGAUGUUGGCUGAGUUCCCCCUUACUUGGUACUUUGGCGUGAAGUGAACCCUAAGCUUUACCCUAGGAGAUACCUUACGCGCCUCUCCGUUCGAAGUAAGAAUAUAAUGGGGUUUACCGUGCCCCUCUAAAAGGUUGGUCCACAGAAACACCCUACUACAGUGAUUAAUUAAUAUAUAUAAUCCACCAUACAAUAAAACUUAAUAACAUGAUAUGACAAUUUUGUAAUUCACAGUCUUUCGAGGCAAUCAAACAAUUCGUGUUUCAAUACAAUUGCCAACUAGCCAAUCAUGCCCGAUUUAUCAUAAGCCAAUCAAUUUAAACAAUCAAAUUGCCACAAUUAACAGUCUCCGUGUACUCUAUUUUUCAAAAUCACUAUUAAUUUCAAAACAAUUUAUAAUUUAAUUUCAUUGAAACACAUUUAUUCAUAAAACAUGAAAAUUUACCUUUUUAAAUUCCUUUUUCCAUAGAAUUCAUGAAACCAUCUAAAAACUACCCUAGAUAAUUAAAAUGACAGUAAGUUUACUCAUAAUGUCUAGAAUGCAAACUUUCGACGCACUCUGUCUACUGGUCCUCGGAUGCAAUUUCCUUACCUUUAUCGGAGGACUCACCACCUUGACACAGUACAAAAUCGAGAAAUUCACUACAUUGGUACUAAAUUGAAAUUAAACUAAUUUCGACUAUUAAUGCAUAAUAUGGAAUGCAAAAAUACAUUGGUAACUAUCUAAACUCGGUAUUGGCCUAAUUCAUCUUAUCACCCGAUUAAAUUACUAACGCAUCCAAUUUAAUCCCAAAUUAAUUUUUUUCAGUUUCUAUACCUUAAUUGCACCCAAAUUGACUUAAUGUCCCCCAGUGUGGUGCAAAUUAUCAGUCUUGAUAAUAAAUUACGAAAAUACCCCUAAUAGGUAAAAAUUCGUAUUUUUGCUCCGAAAAUUCCCAUUUAUUUUCUAGGCUCAUAAUUCAUCAUUUCUUAACCAAUUCUCCUAGAAUAAAAAUCAAACUCAUCCUCACUCAUACAUGGUAAAUUCGGCCAUUAAUGGUUGUGGGAGAAAAUAAAUUCUUUUCUUAUUGUUUUGUUUCUAAAUAUGCUAAACUAACUAAAAACACUAACAUAACUUAAAAUCAAAUUAAUCUAACAACUUUCUCUCUCCUAACCCAUUUUGAUCAGCCAACAAUUCAUCAUAAAAACAUGUAAUUUAAGCAUGGAAAAUAAGGAGAAAUGCUUAAGGAAAAUAGAUUUCAAGCUUAAGUUGAAAAAUCCUACCUUUUUCACUUGUUUUCCUUGAUUUUCCACACUUUUUCUCUUGAAAUUCCUCACCUAGGGUUUGUUCUUCCUCUCUUUCUCUCUCUUCCUUGCUUGGCCGAAUAUUUGGAGAGUAAUGGGCUGAUUUAUGCUGAUUUUUUAGUUAAAUAAUAAAAUAUCCUAAGCUUGACACAUGGCAUUUUCUUAUUGGUCCAUUUUUAAAAUUUUAAAAAUUUAAACAUUUUAUCUCCACCACAUGAUUAGUCAAGGGUCAAAGAUGAAAAUAAAGGAAGACCAUGUGCUGGAAAAAAUGUCCUGAUGGUAGAAAAUUACAAUUUUGCCCCUGGGGUGACAAAAUUACCAUUUUACCCUUUUACUCUAAAUUAUAUCGAAAUUAAAAUUUUCCACUUCUAAACUUGAAAUCAUACUCCAAUAAGUCAAAUUAUACUCUAAUAAGUCAAAUGGGGUCAAAAAAAUCUUUUCUAAAAUUCUCAUUUUGUCUCUAGGUGGCAAAUGACCAUUUUGCCCUUGGAUAGUGAAAAUUCCGAUUCGACUCCAAAUUGAUCCUCAAACUCCGAAUUACCAUUUUGAGUCAUCCUUGGACUAUGACGAUCUUAAUCUCACCUUAAAAUUCCUAUUUGAUCUAGUUCGAGGAUUAAAUCAACUUUGUUGUACCUCUAGGUACAAUACCGACUUUUAUAAAUUUUUCGGGACUCUUCUAGCAUACUAUCAUGCUAUCAUCACAUGUACGUCAUGAAUAGUAUUUUAUAAGGUCGGGCUUUACACAUUCCACAAUAGAAUUUGAAUUUUUUGCAUUAAUAGAUACUAUAAAGGAAGCAGAAUGACUGAGAAAUUUGUUAUUAGAUACAAAGUUGUGGCCACAACUGAUGCUAGUCAUUUUCAUAUAUUGUGACAAUGAGGCUACAAUGUGUAUAGGCCACAAUAAGAUUUAUAAUGAAAAAUCUAGACACAUAUGUCUGCUACAUACCUACAUUAGAGAAUUAAUCUCAAAUGGUGUUGUAACAAUAGUUUAUGUUAUAUUUUUCUAGAAUUUGGUUGAUCCACUUACCAAAGUUUUGCCAAGAGAGGGUAUAAAAUUAACUUAAAUGUGUUAGUAAUGGAACUCAACUUUGAGUUAGUAAAACUAACAAUAAAAGUUCAAUGGGUAAUAAUAAGUUACUAUAUACUGUUAUUAUGCACUAAAUUUUAAUAUUAAAUAGCCUUAUUUUAGAAUAUUUAGUGCGACUGUUACAAGGAGAGGAUGAACAAAAGGCUCUUAAUGGAAAUGUUAAAUACCUGUAAAAAUAGAGGCAUAAUGACAUAUUCCACCUAUAUGAAUAUUGAAGUGAUGUCGCUUCAACAAGAGUUAAAAGGGUUUACUUUUAUAAAUAUUUGUGAAACCAUGAUUAGUACAAGGCCAUAUAAGUGUUAAAGUAGUUGGCAGAAUCUUAAAGCGAUUAAAUAAUAUUAUGUAUGUGAUAUUUUUGUUUAUGACAUAAGGAGUUGUGGUUUAAUCUUUAUGAUACCAAUAACCUCGUCUUAACUUUAAAAUUUCUACACUAAUAGAAAGUUCAAAUUUUCAAGAUACUUUCUACUUUGCAUAGUAUUAUUAAUAUUAUAAACUAAUGGGGCAUUGUUGUAUAGUUUGUAAUAUUGGAAGUCUUAUUCAGAUGUGACUAUUUAAGAUUAAAACAUUACUCUUAAAAUAAGAGAAGUGUUUUCAAACAAACAUAACUAUUGAAAAUUGUUCAGUAGACAUGUCUAUUGUGUGACACGUUUGUUGAAACAUAACAGACAUAUCUGUAAAAACUUUACGGACACAUCUGUUGAAACAGAACAGACACAACUUUUCAGUGUCUAGAAAAAAAACAUACUUCCAAAACAUAUUUCAUCUUUCAAAAAGCAUUCUGCAAUAGGCUUGUUGUAUUCUGGAGAGUCAUUGUUUGUAAAUCCCCAUGUAGACAACAGCUCUUUAAAGAAAGUGUGUUACAACACACUUUAAGCCUUUUAACUUCCUUUCUUAUAUUACUUUUCUAACAGUUUACAUUUUCUUUGUCACGACCCGGAACCUCCCUCAGGCCCGUGACAAUCGCCGCGACGUCCUGAUUGACACUCAUUAUCCGGAAUGCCAACCGGAACCUCGCAAGGCUUACAUAUCAGUUUCUUCCCUUUCCUGUGAGCAAUCGUUGUUAAAUUUCGAGUUUUUAGAGAAUAUACACUAUUUUAGAUCAAAAACAAUCAAAAUAAAAUUUUUGCCACACAAGGGUAUUUUGGUCAUUUUUUUUUCAAAAAUUUUGAAACUGGCUAAAACGUAAUAUACAAGUACAAAACACAUAAUUCAUAUUCAAAAUGAGUUUAAAAGUCUAAAAUCUUCAUUUAAAAUGAAAUUACGGUUAUUUGAAUAUAAUAAGAAAAUAAAAGAAAUAUUAAGGAAAAUAUUCUAUUUUCUUAUAAAACAAUAUUUAUAGAGUUAUACGUGAAUAAUUUUUAUAGCGUAAAAGCUAAAUAAAUUUAUACAUACUGAAAUACAGUAAGCCAAAAUAUUUAAUUUAAUUUACAAUAACAAGAGGGCCCCCGAAUAAACAAAAGUAAAGAGGACUGUGAACCUACGGUUUGGAAAAUGCAGAUCCAAUGGUAGUCCUCGAUGAGAUCAGCUAUCUACAGUCUAUACUGAACCUGAAAUGGGUGGAAAGGAGUUGGGUGAGAUUUUGCAAUCCCAAUGAGUAAACAGACAUUAUCAUAAAUAUCUAAAGGCGAGUAAAAUGGAGGCAAGUUUAAACAACAAAUUUCAACCCAUUUCAUAAUGUUUUCAAUUUAUUUCUUAAACCAUAAAAUAUUUGUAAUUUACCAAAACAGUUGUUAAGGCUUAUGUCUUUUAUUAAAACAAGGCUCAAGCCAAAACUAAUCCUCGGGGAUACCUUGGCCGAGGCAUCUAACCGAGUCCGCCAAGGGUGUUAAAAUAUUCACACGUGAAACACAUUUUUAUUUUUAAAACCAGCCGUUCCUUGGCGUUGGCCGAGUUACACAUUCACGUGGGGGUUCGACGUGAAGUGAGCUCUAAUACUACCCCAGGAGUUACCCUCCUCGCCUCUACAACCGGAGUAACUAUAUAACUGGGUUUACCGUGCCCCUCUAAUAGGCAGUCCACGGAAACCCGUCACUGCAGUGACUAACCCACCAAUUUUAAUAAAAUUUCGACAGUAUAACGUGGCUUUUAUUUAUUUAUCCAGCCUGCAUAGUAAAAACAACUUACAUAAAUUUCCCAAUGCACUCACAAAAUAUAGCCACAUAUACUCAUUUCUCAUAAGCCAUUCCUAGGAAAAUAUAUAUUUUUCAAGUCAAUUUGCAGCCUCCAAUUACUCAAUUUCAUAAUCAAUACAAUAUAUUUUUAUUUGUCACAUUUAUUCCUAAAACAUCAAAAAUCCCGUUUUAAUCUCGUUUUCAUUUCAUAAAAUACAUAAAGGGCAUUUAAAAAUAAACUCUAGAUAAUUUACAAUAAUAAUAAGUUUACUCACCGUUUGUACAAACUAAAAGCUUUCUAAGCG
rnacentral:lncRNA from 1 species